UGAGGGCCCUCUGGGUCCAACCUCCCACCGUGUUUAUUUACCUUGUUGCUUCGGCGAGCCUGCCUUUUGGCUGCCGGGGGACGUCAGUCCCCGGGUCCGUGCUCGCCGGAGACACCUUAGAACUCUGUCUGAAGAUUGUAGUCUGAGAUUAAAUAUAAAUUAUUUAAAACUUUCAACAACGGAUCUCUUGGUUCCGGCAUCGAUGAAGAACGCAGCGAAAUGCGAUACGUAAUGUGAAUUGCAGAAUUCAGUGAAUCAUCGAGUCUUUGAACGCACAUUGCGCCCUCUGGUAUUCCGGAGGGCAUGCCUGUCCGAGCGUCAUUGCUGCCCUCAAGCACGGCUUGUGUGUUGGGCCCCGUCCUCCUUCCGGGGGACGGGUCCGAAAGGCAGCGGCGGCACCGCGUCCGGUCCUCAAGCGUAUGGGGCUUUGUCACUCGCUUUGUAGGCCUGGCCGGCGCUUGCCGAUCAACCAAACUUUUUAUCAGGUUGACCUCGGAUCAGGUAGGGAUACCCGCUGAACUUAAGCAUAUCAAUAAG
rnacentral:rRNA from 1 species